GUGGUAAUGCCGGAUGCUCCAGUUGAUCGCAUGGUCUUCUGGGAAAGCUUUCGCGGUAUGGGAUGGGGUCGCGUCCUAUCAGCUUGACGGCGGGGUAACGGCCCACCGUGGCUUCGACGGGUAGCCGGCCUGAGAGGGCGACCGGCCACAUUGGGACUGAGAUACGGCCCAGACUCCUACGGGAGGCAGCAGUGGGGAAUAUUGCACAAUGGGCGCAAGCCUGAUGCAGCGACGCCGCGUGAGGGAUGGAGGCCUUCGGGUUGUAAACCUCUUUUAUCGGGGAGCAAGCGUGAGUGAGUUUACCCGUUGAAUAAGCACCGGCUAACUACGUGCCAGCAGCCGCGGUAAUACGUAGGGUGCAAGCGUUAUCCGGAAUUAUUGGGCGUAAAGGGCUCGUAGGCGGUUCGUCGCGUCCGGUGUGAAAGUCCAUCGCUUAACGGUGGAUCCGCGCCGGGUACGGGCGGGCUUGAGUGCGGUAGGGGAGACUGGAAUUCCCGGUGUAACGGUGGAAUGUGUAGAUAUCGG
rnacentral:rRNA from 1 species